rnacentral:lncRNA from 12 species
ACUAAAUGUGCCAGCUGAAAAUAACUAGGCAAUUAAUUAUCAAAGGGCUUUCCCACUUUGAUGGUUAUAUAAUAUGAUUCCUGGCCUCUUUGGCAGUGUCACCUGGCAGUAUGCAAAGUGUGUGCAGUGGUAGUUGUAGAAGAUGUGGGUCUGGGUCAAGAUAUCUACCUGCCAAUUCAAAAUGACUUGGACAUUGCAUUGGAAGAAGGUUUAAUAUUGAAAUGUUGUUACUUCGACUAUAACUGAAGUUUUAAUAUGAGCCUGAGAUACCAGAUAAAGAAGAUCAAGAGAUUUCUCAGGCCAAUAAUUAGCUAGAAGAUGAAAGAGAUUAUUCACUAUUCCCUCCUGUACUGGACUUUAAUUCCAAUUAUUGGAUAAUAUGCUUGAUUUCUUAAUAAGUUUAAUGUGACAAGUCGAAAAAUAUUUUCCCAGUGUAAAUUUUUAGAAAUGCUUUGAUGAGUCAUUAAUUUUAUCAAAUCUAUAUAAAAACUCAGAUAAGAAAAGAUAUUUGUAACUAAAACUAAGAAGG